rnacentral:lncRNA from 1 species
AGCUGAGGCACUUCAGGAGGUUGAGCGCCUUGCCUGCUGGUCAGAGAAACAAGAACAAUGAUGGGAGUAGGCGGAAGGAAUGCAGAACUGCAAUAGAGACCGCUGUGCCAGGUGCCGUGAGACAAGCUGCAAUCAACCGCAAGUUAUGAGAACCGUGCCUUGUUGUACUUAGCAUGCUGUUUGUACCUCUAUAUGCAUGGCUGUUUGCAGUUAUUAAAUGGCUUGGCUACUA